GACGAACGCUGGCGGCGUGCUUAACACAUGCAAGUCGAACGGAAAGGCCCUGCUUUUGUGGGGUGCUCGAGUGGCGAACGGGUGAGUAACACGUGAGUAACCUGCCCUUGACUUUGGGAUAACUUCAGGAAACUGGGUCUAAUACCGGAUAGGAGCUCCUGCUGCAUGGUGGGGGUUGGAAAGUUUCGGCGGUUGGGGAUGGACUCGCGGCUUAUCAGCUUGUUGGUGGGGUAGUGGCUUACCAAGGCUUUGACGGGUAGCCGGCCUGAGAGGGUGACCGGCCACAUUGGGACUGAGAUACGGCCCAGACUCCUACGGGAGGCAGCAGUGGGGAAUAUUGCACAAUGGGCGGAAGCCUGAUGCAGCAACGCCGCGUGCGGGAUGACGGCCUUCGGGUUGUAAACCGCUUUCGCAUGUGACGAAGCGUGAGUGACGGUAAUGGGUAAAGAAGCACCGGCUAACUACGUG
rnacentral:rRNA from 1 species